GAUGAACGCUAGCGGCAGGCCUAAUACAUGCAAGUCGAACGGAUAUAUGUUUUCGGAAUAUAUAUUAGUGGCGCACGGGUGAGUAACACGUACAUAACUUGCCCUCAAGGCGGGGGAUAGCCUUGGGAAACUGAGAGUAACUACCCCAUAGAAUUAUUGGACGGCAUCGUUUGAUAAUUAAAACUACGGUGUUUGGGAUAGAUGUGCGUCUGAUUAGCUAGUUGGUGAGGUAACUGCUCACCAAGGCGACGAUCAGGUAGGGGGCGUGAGAGCGUCGGCCCCCCACACGGGUACUGAGACACGGACCCGACUCCUACGGGAGGCAGCAGUAAGGAAUAUUGGUCAAUGGGAGGGAACUCUGAACCAGCCAUGCCGCGUGAAGGAAGAAGGCCCUAUGGGU
rnacentral:rRNA from 1 species